rnacentral:rRNA from 1 species
GCGUAGGCGGGAUGCCAAGUCAGCGGUAAAAAAGCGGUGCUCAACGCCGUCGAGCCGUUGAAACUGGCGUUCUUGAGUGGGCGAGAAGUAUGCGGAAUGCGUGGUGUAGCGGUGAAAUGCAUAGAUAUCACGCAGAACUCCGAUUGCGAAGGCAGCAUACCGGCGCCCUACUGACGCUGAGGCACGAAAGCGUGGGUAUCGAACAGGAUUAGAUACCCUGGUAGUCCACGCAGUAAACGAUGAAUGCUAACUGUCCGGUGCGAGUGAGCGCUGGGCGGUACAGCGAAAGCGUUAAGCAUUCCACCUGGGGAGUACGCCGGCAACGGUGAAACUCAAAGGAAUUGACGGGGGCCCGCACAAGCGGAGGAACAUGUGGUUUAAUUCGAUGAUACGCGAGGAACCUUACCCGGGCUCAAACGCAGGCUGACGGGUCCCGAAAGGGGCCUUUCUUCGGACAUUCUGCGAGGUGCUGCAUGGUUGUCGUCAGCUCGUGCCGUGAGGUGUCGGCUUAAGUGCCAUAACGAGCGCAACCCCUGUCCACAGUUGCCAGCAGGUAAAGCUGGGGACUCUGUGGAGACUGCCGGCGCAAGCUGCGAGGAAGGCGGGGAUGACGUCAAAUCAGCACGGCCCUUACGUCCGGGGCGACACACGUGUUACAAUGGCAGGUACAGCGGGAUGCCACGGGGCGACCCGGCGCUGAACCCGAAAACCUGUCUCAGUUCGGAUUGGAGUCUGCAACCCGACUCCAUGAAGCUGGAUUCGCUAGUAAUCGCGCAUCAGCCACGGCGCGGUGAAUACGUUCCCGGGCCUUGUACACACCGCCCGUCAAGCCAUGGAAGCCGGGGGUACCUGAAGUGCGUGACCGCGAGGAGCGCCCUAGGGUAAAACCGGUGACUGGGGCUAAGUCGUAACAAGGUAACCGUAA